ACGCGCAGGAUCUUCCGUCAGAUCGUCUCGGCGCUGGCCUACGUCCACAGCCAGGGAUACGCCCACCGUGACCUUAAACCAGAAAACAUGAUGCUGGAUGAGAAGAACAACAUCAAGCUCAUUGACUUUGGUCUCUGUGCCAAACCAGAGGGUGGAUUGGGUACUGCUCUGAUUGAGGGCUGUGGAACCCCUCCCUACUUGGCACCAGAAUUCAUUGAUGCGCAACCC